GCAGGAGGGCUUCGCCCAGGCUCCUACGGGAGCCGAGCUCUGCCCACGACCUCACUUGCAGGUAGACUCCAUCCGGACUCCUACGGGAGCCAGACUUCGCACCUGACUUUAAUUGCAGGUAGGCUCCACCCGGGCCCCUACGGGAGCCAGACCUCAUCCCCGCAGCUUCAACUGCAGGCAGACUUCGUCCGGACUCCUACGGAAGACGGACUCCACCCGUG
rnacentral:lncRNA from 1 species